rnacentral:tRNA from 1 species
UCCCUGAUGGCUCAGCUGGUAGAGAACCUGCCUGCAGUGCAGGAAACCUGGGUUCGAGCCCUGGGCUGAGAA